AGAGCGAACGCUGGCGGCAGGCCUAACACAUGCAAGUCGAGCGCCCGUAGCAAUACGGGAGCGGCAGACGGGAUAGUAACACGUGGGAACGCGCCCUUCGGUUCGGAAUAACUCAGGGAAACUUGAGCUAAUACCGGAUACGCCCUUACGGGGAAAGAUUUAUUGCCGAAGGAACGGCCCGCGUCCGAUUAGCUAGUUGGUGAGGUAAUGGCGGUCACCAAGGCGACGAUCGGUAGCUGGUCUGAGAGGAUGACCAGCAUCACUGGGACUGAGACACGGCCCAGACUCCUACGGGAGGCAGCAGUGGGGAAUAUUGGACAAUGGGCGCAAGCCUGAUCCAGCCAUGCCGCGUGGAUGAUGAAGGCCUUAGGGUUGUAAAGUCCUUUUAACGGGGAAGAUAAUGACGGUACCCGUAGAAUAAGCCCCGGCUAACUUCGUGCCAGCAGCCGC
rnacentral:rRNA from 1 species